rnacentral:rRNA from 1 species
UACGUAGGGGGCAAGCGUUGUCCGGAAUCCUUGGGCGUAAAGCGCACGUAGGCGGCCUCAAAAGUCGGAUGUGAAAUCCCGUGGCUCAACCAUGGACGUGCAUUCGAAACUGCGAGGCUUGAGUAUGGAAGAGGGUCGCGGAAUUCCCGGUGUAGAGGUGAAAUUCGUAGAUAUCGGGAGGAACACCAGUGGCGAAGGCGGCGACCUGGGCCAAUACUGACGCUGAGGUGCGAAAGCGUGGGGAGCAAACAGG